UUAUCAAGUGUAGAGUGAAAUCAUUCAACAUCUACAUCAAUGGGCUCCACAUAAGUGUACUACACCUGGCCGGCUAUACCUCAUGAAUCAUUAUACCAUGGGUUUAAUCUUGUACGGCACGAGAGAGCAAAUGGCCAGGCAAGGGUUAAAAAAGGUCACGUUUGAUGACUAUGAUGGAGCCAUUGGAUUUGUCAACAUAAGAAAUGUGCACUGGAAGUUUGUGACAGUAUUUCAAAAUGCGCCGGAACAGACUUGGAAAGGAGGACUGGGUUAACAUCACAGCU